rnacentral:rRNA from 1 species
CCGCAAUUAAGCGUGCCUGAGCGAGAGUAGUACUAGGAUGGGUGACCUCCUGGGAAGUCCUCGUGUUGUACCCCUGGG